GCUCUCGUGGUGUAGUGGCUAUCAUACUUUCUUAGGGUUCCGUUGGAUCUCUAAUCCUACUUGCUAUGGAAGUGGUCCUGGGUUCAAAUCCCGGCGAGGGCC